rnacentral:rRNA from 1 species
UACGGAGGGUGCAAGCGUUGUUCGGAAUCACUGGGCGUAAAGCGCGUGUAGGCGGCCUCCUAAGUCUGGUGUGAAAGCCCGGGGCUCACCCCCGGAAGUGCAUCGGAUACUGGGAGACUGGAGUACCGGAGAGGAGGGUGGAAUUCCUGGUGUAGCGGUGAAAUGCGUAGAUAUCAGGAGGAACACCCGUAGCGAAGGCGGCACUCUGGGCCGGUACUGACGCUGAGGAGCGAAAGCGUGGGGAGCAAACAGG